rnacentral:rRNA from 1 species
AUUGAACGCUGGCGGCAUGCUUUACACAUGCAAGUCGAACGGUAACAGGGUGCUUGCACCGCUGACGAGUGGCGAACGGGUGAGUAAUGCGUCGGAACGUGCCGAGUAGUGGGGGAUAACGCAGCGAAAGUUGUGCUAAUACCGCAUACGUACUGAGGUAGAAAGUGGGGGACCUUCGGGCCUCACGCUAUUCGAGCGGCCGACGUCUGAUUAGCUAGUAGGUGAGGUAAAGGCUCACCUAGGCGACGAUCAGUAGCGGGUCUGAGAGGAUGAUCCGCCACACUGGGACUGAGACACAGCCCAGACUCCUACGGGAGGCAGCAGUGGGGAAUUUUGGACAAUGGGCGAAAGCCUGAUUCAGCCAUGCCGCGUGUCUGAAGAAGGCCUUCGGGUUGUAAAGGACUUUUGUCGGGGAGGAAAUCCCCAGCGUUAAUACCGCUGGGGGAUGACAGUACCUGAAGAAUAAGCACCGGCUAACUACGUGCCAGCCGCCGCAGUAAUAC